AACCACUGAAAUAUACUUCGGAUCUGUUAUCUUAGAAUGUGAUGUUGCAUUCUCUGAGCAGGGACUCUCCAACUUCCUAAAUGUGAUUUCUUAAGUAUUAUAUAACAGAUGAAAUCUGGGAGCAGGCUUUAGGCAGAACUGGCUCCAUAGGAAGGGACCCAGAUGGGAUAGGAGUGGCAUUCAGAAUUGAUCACGGAUCUGGGUCUCGGGGUGUGCUGUGAUGGAGUCCCACUGGACUAGCCCAAUUCAAGUUUGCUUCUGCAAGAGAACUUAAAAGAAAGUCCCAUUAAUUUCUUUGGUGAAAAAAUACGUCUUCAAUUGUACAACGGUAUGUGUUACUAAAGUAAGAAAACUGUAGAAGUCAUGGCCAAAGAAGAGAAAAGGCUGUAUCUGAAGUUUGUGUGGACACAGGACAGAAAGAGAAUUUUUUAAGAGGAAAGCUAAAUGUAUUGGAACAGAUUCCUCCAGCUGUGUUUGGCUUGCUUGAAUUGUUGGACAGGUCUGAAAAGAAACUGGAGGCUGGCUGCUGUUGCCUGUUCAAGAUUUCCCCUGAGGUGAGAAGAAAGAAAAACCUUGGAAAAGACAACAUAGUUGCUUUUUCAGCUCUUACACUUUCCUGUCAGGUUAACCAUCAUGUAAGGAGUAACAAAAGACUUGCCUGCUCUCACUUGCACAAUGAUGAGGGCACCUACAGUUUAAGAGCUAAGGAGUCAGUUCCUGAGGACUCAACAGGGUCCUUAAUAGAUUUCUUUAAUCAGUCAUUAUCUCAUGAGGAUCAAACAUAUUAAACGCAAAAAGGUAGAACUGAAAGAUUAAAUUAGGACAUGUACAAAGCAAUGAGGAAAAUAAGAAUUAUUUCAAU